UUGAUCCUGGCUCAGGACGAACGCUGGCGGCGUGCUUAACACAUGCAAGUCGAGCGGUAAGGCCCUUCGGGGUACACGAGCGGCGAACGGGUGAGUAACACGUGGGUGAUCUGCCCUGCACUUCGGGAUAAGCCUGGGAAACUGGGUCUAAUACCGGAUAUGACCUUCGGCUGCAUGGCUGAGGGUGGAAAGGUUUACUGGUGCAGGAUGGGCCCGCGGCCUAUCAGCUUGUUGGUGGGGUAAUGGCCUACCAAGGCGACGACGGGUAGCCGACCUGAGAGGGUGACCGGCCACACUGGGACUGAGACACGGCCCAGACUCCUACGGGAGGCAGCAGUGGGGAAUAUUGCACAAUGGGCGAAAGCCUGAUGCAGCGACGCCGCGUGAGGGAUGACGGCCUUCGGGUUGUAAACCUCUUUCAGCAGGGACGAAGCGAAAGUGACGGUACCUGCAGAAGAAGCACCGGCCAACUA
rnacentral:rRNA from 1 species